rnacentral:tRNA from 1 species
GCGUCUGUGGUAUAAUGGCUAUUACCUCAGCCUUCCAAGCUGAUGAUGAGGGUUCGAUUCCCUCCAGACGCUCUA